rnacentral:rRNA from 1 species
AUUGAACGCUGGCGGCAUGCCUUACACAUGCAAGUCGAACGGUAACAGGUUAAGCUGACGAGUGGCGAACGGGUGAGUAAUGUAUCGGAACGUGCCCAGUCGUGGGGGAUAACUGCUCGAAAGAGCAGCUAAUACCGCAUACGACCUGAGGGUGAAAGCGGGGGAUCGCAAGACCUCGCGCGAUUGGAGCGGCCGAUAUCAGAUUAGGUAGUUGGUGGGGUAAAGGCCUACCAAGCCUACGAUCUGUAGCUGGUCUGCGAGGACGACCAGCCACCCUGGGGCUGAGAGACGGCCCAGACUCCUACGGGAGGCAGCAGUGGGGAAUUUUGGACAAUGGACGCAAGUCUGAUCCAGCCAUGCCGCGUGCGGGAAGAAGGCCUUCGGGUUGUAAACCGCUUUUGUCAGGGAAGAAAAGGUUCUGGUUAAUACCUGGGACUCAUGACGGUACCUGAAGAAUAAGCACCGGCUAACUACGUGCCAGCAGCCGCAGUAA